ACUCCUACGGGAGGCAGCAGUGGGGAAUUUUGGACAAUGGGGGCGAACCCCUGAUCCAGCAAUGCCGCGUGAGUGAAGAAGGCCCUCCGGGUUGUAAAGCUCUUUUGUUCAGGGAAGAAACGGUGAUCUCUAAUAUAGAUUGCUAAUGACGGUACCUGAAGAAUAAGCACCGGCUAACUACGUGCCAGCAGCCGCGGUAAUACGUAGGGGUGCAAGCGUUAAUCGGAAUUACUGGGCGUAAAGCGUGCGCAGGCGGUUUUGUUAAGUCUGAUGUGAAAUCCCCGGGGCUCAACCUGGGAACUGCAUUGGAGACUGCAAGGCUAGAGUGUGUCAGAGGGGGUAGAAUUCCACGUGUAGCAGUGAAAUGCGUAGAGAUGUGGAGGAAUACCGAUGGCGAAGGCAGCCCCCUGGGAUAACACUGACGCUCAUGCACGAAAGCGUGGGGAGCAAACAGGAUUAGAUACCCUGGUAGGAUAGCG
rnacentral:rRNA from 1 species